CGCGCAGGUGGGAUCACCAGUCUGUUGUAAAAGUGCGGGGCUCAACCCCGUGAAGCGACGGAAACUAUGAUUCUUGAGUGCAGGAGAGGAAAGCGGAAUUCCCAGUGUAGCGGUGAAAUGCGUAGAUAUUGGGAGGAACACCAGUGGCGAAGGCGGCUUUCUGGACUGUGUCUGACACUGAGGCGCGAAAGCCAGGGGAGCGAACGGGAUUAGAUACCCCGGUAGUCCUGGCCGUAAACGAUGGGUACUAGGUGUAGGGGGUAUCGACCCCUCCUGUGCCGGAGUUAACGCAAUAAGUACCCCGCCUGGGGAGUACGGCCGCAAGGUUGAA
rnacentral:rRNA from 1 species